rnacentral:rRNA from 1 species
UAUUGCUCUUUUAGAAGGUCCAGCCUGCCCAGUGAUAUUUUUUAACGGCCGCGGUACUCUGACCGUGCGAAGGUAGCAUAAUCACUUGUUCUUUAAAUGAGGACUAGUAUCAACGGCAUCACGAGGAUUUUACUGUCUCCUUUUUCCUAUCGGUGAAACUGAUCUCCCCGUGAAGAAGCGGGGAUAAUUCUAUAAGACGAGAAGACCCCAUGGAGCUUUAAACCCAGAGACACCUCAAACCCCCCUUUCCAUAAAAGUUUUUAUGUGCUGUCCUCUGGUUUUAGGUUGGGGUGACCGCGGAGUAAAACUUAACCUCCACAACGCACGGAACUUCUUCCUUAUCUAAGAGCAACAUCUCAAAGAAUUAACAUAUUGACGUAAAAUGAUCCAAUAACUUUUAUUUUGAUCAACGAACCAAGUUACCCUGGGGAUAACAGCGCAAUCCAUUUCCAGAGCCCCUAUCGACAAAUGGGUUUACGACCUCGAUGUUGGAUCAGGGUAUCCCAGUGGUGCAGCCGCUACUAAUGGUUUGUUUGUUCAACAAUUAAAACCCUACGUGAUCUGAGUUCAAACGGGGAGAG